ACGCUCGACACCUAAGGCAGCAGUGAGGAAUAUUGGUCAAUGGACGCAAGUCUGAACCAGCCAUGCCGCGUGCAGGAUGACGGCUCUAUGAGCUGUAAACUGCUUUUGUACGAGGGUAAACGCAGAUACGUGUAUCUGUCUGAAAGUAUCGUACGAAUAAGGAUCGGCUAACUCCGUGUCAGCAGCCGCGGUAAUCUGAGCGGGCUGGCAAGGC
rnacentral:rRNA from 1 species